rnacentral:misc_RNA from 1 species
GAUGAAGAACGUAGCGAAAUGCGAUAAGUAAUGUGAAUUGCAGAAUUCAGUGAAUCAUCGAAUCUUUGAACGCACCUUGCGCCCUUUGGCUAUUCCGAAGGGCAUGCCUGUUUGAGUAUCAUGAACACCUCAACUCUUCAUGGUUUUCCAUGAUGGGCUUGGACUUUGGGGGUCUUGCUGACCUGUAGUCAGCUCCUCUCAAAUAAAUCAGCUUUCCAGUGUUUGGCAGCGUCACAGGUGUGAUAACUAUCUACGCUUGUGGUUUUCUGCCAGGUAAUCCUCAGUGAUGGGGAUUCGCUGGGGCUUAUAAAUGUCUCUCCUCAGCGAAGACAGCUUUGUGAACAUUUGAUCUCAAAUCAGGUAGGACUACCCGCUGAACUUAAGCAUAUCAAUAAGCGGAGGA